UUUACUCUGUAAAAACCCUAUCUUUUGUUAGUUUCUUGUUUCUUCCCCAUAUUUCCCCUCGCUCGGUCCUCCUUUAGUCUGCUCUCUCUCGCACUCCCCACACCCACGACUCGACGAGCUUGUCUCUCCUCUCUCCGUUCGGCGUCGCCUCGGCUCUUCCUCUGUCUUCAUCAACCGCACCCAGCAGAGGAGCUCCGCUGCGGUGGCGCCGGCCGCGAAGGCGGGCUACGGUGGUGCGCAGCGGCAGAUUGGGGGCGGUGGCAACAAGAACAGGGGCAGCAACAAUGGGAAUAGGAGGGUGGUCAACGACGAUAACGAUUUGGACGUCGAGAUGCUGAGCAUCUCGAGCGGGGACGAGGAUUCUGCUAAGGAUCGCUUGGUUCGAGGGCCAGAGGUAGCGUGAGUGGUGGUUCGAGGCCCGGGAGGGACGACGACAGAGCGUGGGAUGGCGAAGAACCUGAUUACCGGAGGCGCGUGGACGAAGACGAGGUGAGUUCGAGAUAGUAAACCAAAGGAGAAAGGGAGAAGUUUCAAAGCACGACAAGAACGAGGGACAGAGAAGGGUCUUCCAUGUCCGCUUCGGUUCCAGGGGGAGAAGAAGAAGAGAGAUUGAUUGUUGAAGCUCGAUCGAGGGAGAAAGAGAAAUAGAAAGGAUCGUCUUUGGAGAGUAGCGAGAACAAGAAAGAUGGUAUUGGUGUUGGCAUUGGGGGAUCUGCACAUACUGCACAAGGCGCCUGAUCUGCCCGCCAAGUUCAAGUCCAUGCUCGUCCCUGGCAAGAUCCAGCACAUCAUCUGCACUGGCAAUUUAUGUAUCAAAGUGGGUCCCUUUAUCCUUCUCUUGUUGUUGUUGUUGAUUGAAUUCCCCGACCCAUUUGCGAUCGUGAUCUUAUUUGGAUUUCUUUUAGCAAUUUCGCGUUGACUCGGUCGAUGUUGUCUUUGUUUUCUUUUUCAUUUUUGGCUACAGCUCCCAUGAGGUGAUGUAGCGAUGGCAUUUUUUGAUUCAUUGUUGUUUUCAUUUGAUGUCAUUUUAGUCUAUGCCCUCUAGCAUAUUGUGGGGUUUUUUUGUUUUGGCAGGGGGGUUGGGGGUUACAAGCAUUGUUCUGUUGGUGAUUUUUCCUUUCCUUAUUUUUGGCCUCACUUAUGGGGCCUUACCUUGCGGCUCAUGGAUGCAGUUGAAAGUUUUGUUUUAAUCACUAGAUUGGUGUAUUCUUGGCACUCCGCGGUUCAGCCUUUUUUUCUGAGAGAGGAGGCUUUUAGAUUGAUGACCUUAAGUGCCCCAUUGUGCAAUUACCGGUUGUCUUGCAAAUUUCUUUGAUUUGUGGAAAUUGACAAUGUUCUUCGUCA